rnacentral:rRNA from 1 species
GACGAACGCUGGCGGCGUGCUUAACACAUGCAAGUCGAACGGAAAGGCCCUGCUUGCAGGGUACUCGUGUGGCGAACGGGUGAGUAAGACGUGGGUGGUCUGCCCUGCACUUCGGGAUAAGUAUGGGCAACUGGGUCUAAUACCGGAUAGGAGCCAUUUUUAGUGUGAUGGUUGGAAAGUUUUUUCGGUGUAGGAUGAGCUCGCGGCCUAUCAGCUUGUUGGUGGGGUAAUGGCCUACCAAGGCGGCGACGGGUAGCCGGCCUGAGAGGGUGGACGGCCACAUUGGGACUGAGAUACGGCCCAGACUCCUACGGGAGGCAGCAGUGGGGAAUAUUGCACAAUGGGCGCAAGCCUGAUGCAGCGACGCCGCGUGGGGGAUGACGGCCUUCGGGUUGUAAACUCCUUUCGCUAGGGACGAAGCUUUUUGUGACGGUACCAAGAUAAGAAGCACCGGCGAACUACGU